AACGCACCUUGCACCUCUUGGUAUUCCGAGAGGUACAUCUGUUUGAGUGUCAUGAAUCCCUCAACCUCUACACUUUCUUGUAAAGUGCGGAAGCGUUGGAUGCUGAGCGCUGCUGUUUCACGACAGCUCGCUUCAAAUGUAUAAGCAAUCUUUGUACUACUCGGAUUGACUCGACGUGAUAAGAUCUUCGUCGAGGAUGCUUCUUAGCAGCCGAAUCGUAUACAAGUCGCUUCAAACCCUGCACUUGUGCAACCUUUAAACUUUAGACCUCAAAUCAGAUGGGACUACCCGCUGAACUUAA
rnacentral:misc_RNA from 1 species